CCUCCCCCCUCAGAAGCUCCUCCCCGCUCCCUCCGCAAGGGGAGGCCCCGCCCCCAGGAGGCCAGGGCCCUCAGAGCCUCAGGGGUUAGGCCUGGUUCUGGCCCCGGCCUGCUGGAUCCCUAAUCGAGACCAUGAUUUUGUGGAAGCCGAGAGCCCUGGCCUCUCGGGGUACGCCGCUCACCAAGCCCUGCUUCUUCGGGCUCCACUGCCACCGCCCGCCUGCCCCUGCUCGUGCCCGAUACUGCCGGACCGGGCCCAAGAGCGCGCUCCCGCGCCCCAGUAGGGUCCUAGAGGCCUCCUCGUGCCAGCCCCACCCCCUCCCGGUUCCUUCCGUGGCCCCGCCCCCUCGGAGGACUAAAACUCUAAACAGACGCCACGACCUGGGGACUACAACUCCCAGCAAGCAAUACGGCCCGCACGGUCGGAGCCUAAGGAGCUAUAGCAACUCCAUGAACUAGUGUGCGCUGAAGCUGGCUGAAAGGCCUCCCGGAAGAGGUGAGAUUGAAUCUGAGCCUUCAAGCACAGGUGGAAAGGAAGCAGCCCUUCACUCCUGUACAAGCUUUUCAGCUUACAGUCUUUUCGCAUCCAUUGUUACAUUGACUCUUCAGGACAAAUGUGGAAACUAUCCCCUCACCCUCACGUAUAAUAUCAAGUCACGUCAUCGAGUCAAGACAUUCCCUAGCUAGCAGUAAUAGUAAGCCCCUGCUUAUUUAAACACUUUAAGGUUUAUAAAGAACAUUUCUCGCCAUAGCCCCGUUAGCUAAAUUGUACAAGUAUGAUUAUCGCCAUCAUAUAUGAAGGUGGCUACAUAUAGAUGAGGAAAAUGACUCAGAGAAACUACUUACCUGUGGUCACAGCUAGCUAAGUGUGAGGAUCACCGGUUUCUUCAGGACUUUUUCCACUGAAUCCUACUCCCUCAUGGCACUUAGUUUUAAACCUCUUUCUAAUGUACUUAUGUAUUCUUGUAUACCAUAGUUACCUGUAGAGAAGCUACCUGCUUAUUGGAUAGUUCAGAACCAGGAAUCAGACGGAAACCCUUCGUUUGACAUUUACUAUCUAUGUAAUGAGAGACCAGUCACUUAACCUUUCUGAGCCACCAGCAGUGCUCCAAACGCUAAAAUUUAUUAAGAGGUUGUGAUUUUAUGUAAUAGUUAUUGCUUAGUGGUUAUUAUACCUUUACUAAAUAGUAAGCUCCAUAAGGAAAUUAUGUUUUAUCUGAACUUUUUUUAGUUUAGCUUUUUUCUUUCUAAAUUUUUUAUUGAUAAUUUUGUCUUUUCACCACCUUUGUUUCAAAAUCUCUCUCUUCCUCCCAGGAGAGCCAUCCUCUGUAACACAGAAUAUAAUAGAAAGGAAAAAGAAAAGUUCAGCAAAACUAACCAACUCAUCAGCCAGGUCUGACAAUGUGUGUAUUUGACAAUGUAUGCAUUGUUCCAUAUUCAUAGUCCCCCACCUCUACAUAAAAAGGAGGGAGGUACAUUCUUGAAUCCCUUCUUUGGGGCCAAGCUUAAUCACUGUUAACAUACAGCAUUUAUUUUUGAAGGGGUUUGUUAUUUUCUUUCCAUUUACACUGUCAUAAUUGUGCAUAUUGUUUUACUUCAUUUUUCAUCCCUCCAUAGAAGUCCUCGGUGCAUCUCUGAAUUCAUUUUAUUUGUUUCUUGCAGUACAGUAAUAUUGUAUUAAAUCCAUGUACUACAACUUGUUUACCAGUUAAUGGGUUAUGUUCCCCAGUUGAUGGGCAUCUACUUUCUUUCCAAUUCUUUUUUUUUUUUGCCUUUUUGGUGAGGCAGUUGGGGUUAAAUGACUUGCCCAGAGUCACACAGCUAGUAAGUGUCAUGUGUCUGAGGUCUGAUUUGAACUCGGGUCCUCCUGACUCAAAGGCCGGAGCUUAGUCACUGCUAUAAAUGUUUUAAUGUAUAAAGGUCCUUCUUUCUGUCUUCAUGAUUUUUUGAGUAUAUGCCUAGCAGUAGAAUCUGAGUCAAAGGAUAUGGAUGUUUUAGUCACUUUAGUGUAAUUAGUAGUAAUUUAGUCAGUUUAGUAUAGUGUAAUUUACUCAAUUUAGCAUAAUUCCAAGUUGCUUUCCAGAAUUGUUAGCCCAAUUCACUGCUCCACAAACUAUAUUUGUGUCCCAGUCUUUCCUAAAUCCCUCUAACAAUGACUCUCAUCUUUUUGUCAUCUUUGAUAAUUUGCUGGGAGUGAGGAUAUUUAAAUUUUGUUGUCGGGGUUUUUUUUUCUAAGCAAAAUCAAAAGCCCCAGAACCUCCCAAGGUGAUUUGCACAUGCUAGUUCUUUGGUAAGUGUUGAAUUGAGUCAAAGGAAAUCAUUGCCUCUCCAGGCAGAGGAUACCAGAGCAACAGUGGGCAGACUCCUCCCCUUCCUGUUGUUUCCAAAGGAUAGAUUGAUGACCUCAUUUGGGAUAGAAGCUGAGAGUCCUGGGUUUGGUUUUUUGGUUUUGUUUUGUUUUGUAUUUUCCUGCUAUCACACCUGGCUUUUAAGCUCAUUCCUACCCCUUCUCCUUUGCCUUGGCCUGAACCUGGAGGUGGGAAAAAAUUUAGGAAAGCAAUGGUCUAAUUCUGCUUCUUCCACUCUUCAUUCUUGCUGUGACAAGAAAAAGCAAGAGACAGAGAUUUUCUAUGCAAAGGAGAAUCUGCAAAUUAUAUAAAUAAAGAAAGAAAGAAACUAUUAAGUGAAACUGAA
rnacentral:lncRNA from 1 species